rnacentral:rRNA from 1 species
AUACGUAGGGUGCGAGCGUUGUCCGGAUUUAUUGGGUUUAAAGGGUGCGUAGGCGGGGGAAUAAGUUUGCUUUUAAAGCCGGCCGCUUAACGGUCAGGUAGGGGGCAGAUACUGUUUUUCUUGAGAUAUCUGGGGGCUGGCGGAAUUUGUGGUGUAGCGGUGAAAUGCAUAGAUACCACAAGGAACACCGAUAGCGUAGGCAGCUAGCCACGGAUUAUCUGACGCUGAGGCACGAAAGUGCGGGGAGC